rnacentral:sRNA from 1 species
GACUUUCCAAGAGGGAUUUGGAAUGGGGGUGGGCAGGAGGAGGAAGAUAAGGAGAUGAGUCAUCUCGUGAGGGAUGACGUAAGCAGA